AAGAAAAGAAACUUGGGGCAAUGGUUGAACUAAUAGAUGAAGAGUUUUCACUGUCUUCAUCAUCAUCUUCUGCUUCAAGCUGUUCAUCAGAUGAUGAAUCAGGCUCAAGCAAAGUUACUGUGCUAGGACGAUAUUCUUCAGCAAGAAGAUCCGAGGCGAUUACUUGUUAUCCAUGGAGUUCAUUGGUGGCUGUGAUGAUCCAAGCUCUAGCACAUCGCGCUAAUUCCAUUUGGGUGAUGGAUGAAGAUCACAAUUUGAUCGGAGUUGUAACAUUUAAAGGAAUUCUGGAAGUUUUCAGGAGUAUCGCUAAUGCGAAGCGUAAACCAGAAAGGGAGAAUACAUCAAAGCAAUAAUACACAAUUAAAUGCCACAUAUGUUGAGUUAAUUUUUU
rnacentral:misc_RNA from 1 species